rnacentral:rRNA from 1 species
UACGUAGGGAGCGAGCGUUGUCCGGAUUCAUUGGGCGUAAAGAGCUCGUAGGCGGCUUGGUAAGUCGGAUGUGAAACCUCCAGGCUCAACCUGGAGUCGCCAUCCGAUACUGCCAUGGCUAGAGUCCGGUAGGGGCCCACGGAAUUCCUGGUGUAGCGGUGAAAUGCGCAGAUAUCAGGAGGAACACCGAUGGCGAAGGCAGUGGGCUGGGCCGGCACUGACGCUCAGGCACGAAAGCGCGGGGAGCAAACAGG